rnacentral:tRNA from 1 species
GAAGAAAUGGCUCAGCAGGUUAAGAGCACUGUCUGUCCUUCCAGAGGUCCAGGGUUCAAUUCCCAGCGUCUCCA